rnacentral:rRNA from 1 species
AGUGAACGCUGGCGGUAGGCCUAACACAUGCAAGUCGAACGGCAGCACAGUAAGAGCUUGCUCUUACGGGUGGCGAGUGGCGGACGGGUGGGGAAUACAUCGGAAUCUACUUUUUCGUGGGGGAUAACGUAGGGAAACUUACGCUAAUACCGCAUACGACCUACGGGUGAAAGCAGGGGAUCUUCGGACCUUGCGCGAUUGAAUGAGCCGAUGUCGGAUUAGCUAGUUGGCGGGGUAAAGGCCCACCAAGGCGACGAUCCGUAGCUGGUCUGGGAGGAUGAUCAGCCACACUGGAACUGAGACACGGUCCAGACUCCUACGGGAGGCAGCAGUGGGGAAUAUUGGACAAUGGGCGCAAGCCUGAUCCAGCCAUACCGCGUGGGUGAAGAAGGCCUUCGGGUUGUAAAGCCCUUUUGUUGGGAAAGAAAAGCAGCAGGUUAAUACCCCGCUGUUCUGACGGUACCCAAAGAAUAAGCACCGGCUAACUUCGUG